rnacentral:rRNA from 1 species
AUACGGAGGGUCCGAGCGUUAUCCGGAAUCAUUGGGUUUAAAGGGUCCGCAGGCGGUCAAUUAAGUCAGAGGUGAAAUCCCAUUGCUCAACACUGGAACUGCCUUUGAUACUGGUUGACUUGAGUUAUACGGAAGUAGAUAGAAUGUGUAGUGUAGCGGUGAAAUGCAUAGAGAUUACACAGAAUACCGAUUGCGAAGGCAGUCUACUACGUAUAUACUGACGCUGAGGGACGAAAGCGUGGGGAGCGAACAGGAUUAGAAACCCCGGUAGUCC